GCAUGUGAAGGCGAUCUGGCUGCAACCUCUGUCACCCCAUAGACUGAGAGGGUUAAUCUGGCUGGCCAGGCUGGUGUCCUCUUCCUCUCUCACAGCUCCAUGUGGGUCCUUCCCAAAGCCACAUGCUCUGAUGAGGGGAUGAUCUUCCUGGGUAGAGGAGGCCCGUUCUUUAUCAAGGGUAUACAAGUAGCUGCACUCCUCUGCUAGAACCUUCCAAUAAGCUCCACAUAUUUCUGACUGUGGCACCUUCACUCUACAAAUGUCCCUUGAAUGUGAACUUAAGCAAAGCCAUAUCUCCAGAUGAAUCUAACUUU
rnacentral:snRNA from 1 species